rnacentral:sRNA from 1 species
GCACACCACGCGUACGCUGCGGCUUCUCCACGCCGUCCACGUCCACCUGACGACUGCACGCCACGUUUUAGUAACC